UUAAAACACUAAUAUAGUUGAUUAUAAUAAAAAAUAAUAUUUUUUUAUCCAAAUGAAAUGAGAGUAUCUAUUUAUAGAUCAUAAAAAGUCAUAAAUGUUGAUAUAAUUUUUAUUUUUUUAACUUUUAUUAUAUAAUAAAUGAAUUCAAAUUAUCGGGUAGAAAUAAAAAUAAAAUAAAAAACUCCACAACUAGUCAAUUUACACCACAUGGUUAAGUUGGACUACGAAAAACUGCACACCCUUGAAACCACCUAAAUCUUAUACAAUAAAAUAGGAUAUGCUCUCUCGUCCUUCCUCCAUGUCCUCGGGGGCAUUUUUCGCCACUGUCCUUCUCAGAAACGUUGUUGUUCAUUACACGUUUAAUCGAGUCUACAUUUUGGGCUUCACUUAUUGAAUGGGCUUUACCAAUGAUUUGUCCUAAUUCCUAUUACCUUUGUCGUAUGAUCUUCCACCGCCUCCCCAUGACCACCGUCCGCUUCUCCUCGGCAUUCAAUCUAUGUAAUUAAGAUGUUUCAGUACAGCCGUCCCAUUACUUGAUAUUUAACUCGCAAUAAUCAUCACCAGUUUCGUCUUCUUCUCUGAAACGCCAUCACUUACCAAUAUGAAUCACAUGUACAGACAGAGUAAAAGAGAGAAACAUAGAGAGAGAGAGAGAGAGAGAGAGAGAGAAUGGAGUUUACUAAGAUAGAGAUGGGGGUGUGACUUCUUCAACUGCGGUGAAGGUGGCGCUCUUCCGCCGAAUCAGUUAACUUACAAGACAAUCAGAGACAACGCUGAGCUUUUUCUCAAGCGCCAAGGCACCAAAAUUGUCGCCAUGUACAUCAUGUAUCCUAUGUAGGUCACAAACCUUCUAUAUUCGCAAGGGAAUGCUGCUGAUACCGGUCCAAUGUUGGAGCUCUCGAUCGAGCUUACUGUUCGGCUUUGUGUCAAUUUGAUGGGGAGAAACACUUCACUCAUUGAUUAUUGCCAAAGCAAUGGCAAACAUAAAUACAUUCAGAUCGACGUUGGCAAGACAUUUAAGGAACAAGUCCUUCGUUAGUUUACUCUUCACAACAUUCCUCAAGCUGAUUCUAUGAUUUUGACUGAUGAACAUGCUGGUGAUGUACAUGGCUUGGAUUAUAUUUGUUCUGUACCAGCCAUUCAGUCCUACUGAUGAUAUAGAUUCUACUCCAAUCUUCCCUUGCGGCGAAGUUCCCGUAUCUUGUCCAGAAGAAACUUAAAGAAGGCCAAGAUGUUAGGCGAGCGAACACAGCUGGAUUGGAGCGUAAUCAAAGAAGAUUGCGAGAAGCCAUUGUAGCUUCAUACUUAUCAUUCACGGCACUUCCAUGAUGCAUGGAGAAUACAACGUCUAUCUUGGCUUCUUUUUUUGGAGAAAAAAUCCAGUGUGGCUUAUAUCUCCCAUGUAUCACGUUCUUCAUCAAGCACUAAGUAUGGUAAAGUGUAACAAAGUGCUUAGUGUGUGUUACUGGUGGUCACAAUUGGAUCUCCUUAUCUUGGAUUCAAUAUAUAAGGUAAUACAUGCAUCCUUUUGCAGUGAAGUUUGAUUUUUUACGUUUACUUUAUGCUUAUGCUUUCACAUUCUCUCUUUUAUACUGACUGCAGAAAGGAUCCCACAACACUCAUUUAUGUUUCCUGCAGGUUUGCUUACUUUGAAGGUGUGUUAUUUAAAAAAAAAAAGGUUUAUGUCUUGCUUACUUUUGUUUUCUGUAGACAGUAGAGACAACCAAAAGACUUGAACACGAAAAGGGCUCUUUUAGUUGGAAUGACUCGCGAGUUUGAUCACCCACAAGGACAAGGAAUUUCUUGAAGAACGGUCUGAAAGGGAAGGGAUUUCAGUAAAGCUUGCGAUGGCUCAAGAAUCUCGAUUGAUUUAUGAAGAGGCAAGAAAAUAUCAUUUGGCAUUUCUUAUUUAGAAACUAAGAGUAUUACAUUUGUGGUUUCACGUUAAUCUCUUUAGGUUGAAUAUCAUAAGUAAUAAGAUGAGGAUGCUUGUGUGGGACUUCUUGUCUUAAGAAACAAAGGGAGCUAGAGACAGAAAUACGAAACGGAUGUCCUGAAGAUACACUAAAAUUUAUUUUCGUUGCUUUUAAAUUUAACUCUGUCUAAAGUUGAGAUUAUUGUGUCAUGUCAAGUUAUUUAACCCUUGCUUUUUUUUUAAAAA